UUUAAUAGUGGUGAAAUUACUCAGACGUUUUCAUAGCAAUGUUUGUCGAAGGAAAUUUUUAAAUUAAAAUAUGAGAAUAAUUAGUUUGAAUUUGCAAAAAUAAUCAAUUGGAGCAAAAUAUACGCUUUUAAUAAUAAAAAAAAAACAAACGUGAAAUUUAUUUAUUAAUGCGACAACGCAAAGGCGCGUUUUACAUCAAUGUGAGUCUAGUGGGUGUGUCUUGAGUCGAAUUUCACAGAGAUUUGCUUAAAUUUAUGAAAUCAGUGUGUUUGAUAUUUUAUGUAAAAAAGUGCAGUUAUUUGAAUUAUAUAUUUUUAUAUUGGUUACGUAAAAAUGAGUAAUUAAAAUCACGUGUUAAAUUGGAAAUAUUUCCUUAAGAUUCCGAAUCAGACAACAAACAGUGUGUCAACACACACGAAACGAGAAAAAGAAAAGUGUAUGUAGCUAGACAAACCGGUUGACACUGGAGGCUGAAAGAAAACAAAAAAAAAAAAUACAUAUUUAUAUUGUUUUAUUUUUUAACAAUAACCUAAAAAAAGCAGCAAAUAAAUAAACAAAAAGUAGAAAGCAAUAAAAAAGCGGCCUACAACCGGUUGCACUGUGUGACAGGUUUGAAAGCAAUUAACAUACGAAAUACAUGUGCGAAAUGAAGGAGAGAUGUAAAAAAUGAAAUGUGCGUAAAAAUACAAUUCUUUUUGAAACAAUGUAAUCAGUGAAGAGUGAAUAUAAAUUAAAAACUGGAAUUUAAAAUUUUAAAGAAAAUUGUUAUAUAUUUGUGUAUGGAGAAAAUUGCAUAGAUAUAUUUUUGAAAUACAUAGAUUCAAUACUGAAAAACAAUUUGCCGGCUAUAAUAAUUAUACUAUUACGUCGUUCAACUAUCACUUUGACAACUGCAGCGGGUAUAACUAAAUACACAACAACAAUAACGCCAAACAUUGUUGGAGUCUUUGUAAUAGCAAUAAUAGCUAAAACAUUGUCGCAGAAACGCGGGUAUUCGCCCACCCAUUUCGUUGCUGCUGUUCUAUUGAAUGCGUACAUAACAGUUGCAGUGUUACAGAAACAGCACAACAACAGAGUCAGCUCGUCGACAACGACGUCAUAUGCUGCAUUGGCAGCGAGCGAAAACUUGCUCUUGUACGCAUUGACUGUGCUAAAUGCAACAGAAAAGAUAAAAAGUUAAAACUAAAAUUGUUGCACAAAUGUGUAUUACAACAACUUCAAGAGAGAGCCGAAAMUCAACUCUAAAUUACUGAGUAUCUGCUGCUAUUUAUGCAAAGAGCAAAAGUGAACUUUUGAAUGCAACAACGUGCAUAUGUAAAGAGUGAGUGAGUUAUCGCUGCAGCAACACUUGCUGUUCUGGCGCAGAAGCUACUAUUGUCACUAUUACCAGCUACUUUUAUUCGUGUAUUGUGUUUUUGUAAUCAGAUGCCGGCUUCUUAGAACGCUUUGUUACAGUAUUUGUGAUAAUUCAGCGAGUGGGUGACCGGCAAGGCAACGUCGUUCACAUUGCAACAGCAUCAAGUGCAUUAGCGAAGACUAUGCGAAGUGUGUGUUGCAGCGGUUAAAGAGAAUUGACUUUCUAUACAUACACAUAUGCUAAGUUUAAAAUUAAAAAAAAACCAAAAACAAAAGUUCGAAAGUAUAAAAAGCAACUACAAGGUGACCGACAUUGGCCAUCAACCUGUUGGCGACUGUUUAAAGUUGUGAGAAAAACGUGUGGCAAUUCACUUGAGAAUAAAUUUAUUGCAAGAAAAUCAACAACAAUAACAACAUGUGACUGUAAAAAA